rnacentral:rRNA from 1 species
AUGAUACUAAAUGAGGUCUAUCUUGACGAGCUCACUGAAGAUGAUAUCCUUUGAAAACACACAACCUGUGGACAAUACUCGACGACCUCCGCGUACAGGGCACAGUUCCAAGGGACGGUCCUUUCCCCUGACAAAAUGAUUUGGAAGGUUUGGGCACCACCCAAAGUCAAAUUUUUUGCUUGGUUGGCUCUUCAAGACAGAAUUUGGACAGCGGAUAGAUUGGCAAAGCGUGGUUGGCCAAACAGCGAUCUCUGCCCUCUUUGCAGGACGGUGCAAGAAUGCGGACCUCACCUCUUCUACAAGUGUCGCUACACCCGGCGUCUUUGGUCUUUGGUCAUUGAGAAAGUCCUCUUGCACGGGCUUGACACUUCCGCUUGGCCCUUGUUCGACUCGGUGGAGGAGUGGUGGGCAAGCACCUGCGCCGAUGGCAUGCCGAACCGCCAAGCCAAGGCCUCCCUCACCAUGCUCGUCUCAUGGACAAUUUGAAACGAGCGUAAUGCAAGAGUGUUCAAUCAUAAGAGUGCUCCACCGCCAAUCUUGCUCUCCUCCAUCGCCACCGAGGCCAACCUUUGGGUCGUCGCCGGUGCAAAGAAGUUAGGGUCUUUUAUUUCACGCGAGUAA